rnacentral:rRNA from 1 species
CACGUAGGCACCAAGCGUUGUCCGGAUUUAUUGGGCGUAAAGAGCUCGUAGGCGGUUCGGUAAGUCGGGUGUGAAAACUUUGGGCUCAACCCAAAGCCUGCACUCGAUACUGCUGUGACUUGAGUCCGGUAGGGGAGUGGGGAAUUCCUGGUGUAGCGGUGAAAUGCGCAGAUAUCAGGAAGAACACCCGUGGCGAAGGCGGCUCUCUGGGACGGUACUGACGCUGAGACGCGAAAGCGUGGGGAGCGAACAGG